AUGGACGGAUCCACCAUCAAUCGACUCGCCGACAUGGCCGUGUUCCUCCUCUUCCUCCUCAUACUUGUUCUGUCCGUCAGCCACAUCAUACACGGAGACGGGUCAGGAGCAGUUGCUGCCCCCAGCCUCGUCAUCGUGACGCUGCGGGGUCACGGCCCCGACGACAAGACCUCCGUGGCCGUGCAGAGACACGACCUUUCCUUCGCCGGCUUCACCAACGGGAGAGGCCAUUGGCAGGCCUUCCCAGGCUGCGAGCACCUCUUCCCUGCGUCCACGACCCUCCCGUUCGGCAACAGCUACAGCGAGCUCAUCGGCGGGAUUUUUUGUCCAAAAGGACCCCCUGGCCAACAGAGUUAUGGGUGA
rnacentral:rRNA from 1 species